GACGAACGCUGGCGGUGUGCUUCACACAUGCAAGUCGAACGAGGUAGCAAUACCUAGUGGCGGACGGGUGAGUAACGCGUGGGAAUCUGCCCAAGGGUGGGGAUAACUAGCCGAAAGGUUAGCUAAUACCGCAUAUGCCGUGAGGUAAAAGGAGUAAUCCGCCCCUGGAUGAGCCUGCGGGCCAUUAGCUUGUUGGUGAGGUAACGGCUCACCAAGGCUGUGAUGGCUAGCUGGUCUGAGAGGAUGACCAGCCACACUGGGACUGAGACACGGCCCAGACUCCUACGGGAGGCAGCAGUGGGGAAUAUUGCGCAAUGGGCGAAAGCCUGACGCAGCGACGCCGCGUGGGUGAUGAAGGCCUUC
rnacentral:rRNA from 1 species